rnacentral:rRNA from 1 species
UACGGAGGUGGCAAGCGUUGCUCGGAAUCACUGGGCGUAAAGGGCGCGUAGGCGGGGAGGUAAGUCGGGUGUGAAAUCCCUCGGCCCAACCGAGGAACUGCGCCCGAGACUGCUUCUCUUGAGGCCCGGAGAGGAAGAUGGAAUUCCCGGUGUAGCGGUGAAAUGUGUAGAGAUCGGGAGGAACACCGGUGGCGAAGGCGGUCUUCUGGACGGUGACUGACGCUGAGGCGCGAAGGCGUGGGGAGCAAACGGG